GAUGAACGCUGGCGGCGUGCCUAACACAUGCAAGUCGAACGCUCGCAAGAGAGUGGCGCACGGGUGAGUAACACGUAGCUAAUCUGCCCUCAAGACAAGGAUAACUGUAGGAAACUACUGCUAAUACUUGAUAAGCUUACGGACUGUAGAGGUCUAUAAGAAAAGAUUUAUCGCUUGAGGAUGAGGCUGCGCGCCAUCAGCUAGUUGGUAAGGUAAUGGCUUACCAAGGCGACGACGGCUAGGGGACCUGAGAGGGUGACCCCCACCAC
rnacentral:rRNA from 1 species